AGUGUGCCAUCUCUGCCCAUAAUCCAAAUGGCGUGCCUGAGGCAUAGAAAGCAGCUUUCAGGGAGGCCUUCCUUCCUCUGAGCAAUGGUGGCAUCAUCAGAAAAGUGGAGCUCCUCCAAAAGGAUCUGCUGGAAGCAGAGGACGCCCAUGUCGCCUGGUGACUCCCUCUGACCCAACAAGUUGCAGCACCUCUGCUGGGCUUUGCCACUGCCCCAUUUUUGCCAGAGCCUCACCCUGGUGGGGCCCCACCUCUGGGAAGCCCCAGCGCCUGCAAGAUUUUUUCCUCUCGUGACAGGGAGCAGCAUGCGGAGGGCCCUUGCACAACCUGGGUCUUCAGGAAGGACAGUUUCUAACCAGAGUUCUGUUCCUUGCCCAGGUGUUGGCCCAGCUCUCUUCAUGGUUCCAAGAAGGCUGCCCCAGGAAGGCUUGUGGACAGAGGGAGAAGCAUCUCUUCCUCUAUGUCUCUUUUUAUCUAAGAAACCAGUUUGACCAGC
rnacentral:lncRNA from 1 species